GAUGAACGCUGGCGGCGUGCCUAAUACAUGCAAGUCGAGCGGACGGACGAGAAGCUUGCUGCUCUGAUGUUAGCGGCGGAGGGGUGAGUAACAUGUGGAUAACCUACCUAUAAGACUGGGAUAACUUCGGGAAACGGGAGCUAAUACCAGAGGAUAUUUUGAAGCGCAUGGGUCAAUAGUGAAAGACGGUCUUGCUGGCACUUAUAGAUGGAUCCGCGCUGCAUUAGCUAGUUGGUAAGCUAAAGGCUUACCAAGGCAACUAUGCAUAGCCGAAGUGAGAGGGUGAUCGGCCACACUGGAACUGAGACACGGACCAGACUCCUACGGGAGGCAGCAGUAGGGAAUCUUCCGCAAUGGGCGGAAGCAUGACGGAGUAGCGCGGAGUGAGUGAUGAAGGUCUUGGGAUCGUAAAACCCUGUUAUUAGUGAAAAACAUCUGUGGACUUAAAUGAGCAGAUCUUGACGGUACCUAAUAAGAAAGCCACGGCUAACUACGUG
rnacentral:rRNA from 1 species